rnacentral:rRNA from 1 species
UCCGGUUGAUCCUGCCGGCGGCCACCGCUAUAGGAAUUCGAUUAAGACAUGCGAGUCGAGAGUCGUAAUGGACUCGGCGGACUGCUCAGUAACACGUGGAUAACGUGCCCUUAAGAGGAGGAUAAUCUCGGGAAAUUGAGGAUAAUACUCCAUAGAUCAUGGGAUCUGGAAUGACCCAUGGUUCAAAGUUCCGGCGCUUAAGGAUCGGUCUGCGGCCUAUCAGGUAGUAGUAGGUGUAACGUACCUACUAGCCUACGACGGGUAUGGGCCUUGAGAGAGGGAGCCCAGAGUUGGAUUCUGAGACACGAAUCCAGGCCCUACGGGGCGCAGCAGUCGCGAAAACUUCACAAUGGGGGCAACCCCGAUGAGGGAAUUCCUAGUGCUAGCACAUUUGUGUUAGCUUUUCUUUAGCUUAGAAAACUAGAGGAAUAAGGGCUGGGUAAGACGGGUGCCAGCCGCCGCGGUAAUACCUGCAGCCCAAGUGGUGGUCGAUUUUAUUGAGUCUAAAACGUUCGUAGCCGGUUCGGUAAAUCUUUGGGUAAAUCGGGGGGCUUAACCUCCCGACUUCCGAGGAGACUGCCGAACUUGGGACCGGGAGAGGCUAGAGGUACUUCUGGGGUAGGGGUAAAAUCCUGUAAUCCUAGAAGGACCACCGGUGGCGAAGGCGUCUAGCUAGAACGGAUCCGACGGUGAGGGACGAAGCCCUGGGUCGCAAACGGGAUUAGAUACCCCGGUAGUCCUGGCUGUAAACGAUGGGUACUAGGUGUUGGGGGUAUCGACCCCUCCAGUGCCGCAGUUAACGCAAUAAGUACCCCGCCUGGGGAGUACGGCCGCAAGGCUGAAACUCAAAGGAAUUGACGGGGGCCCGCACAAGCGGAGGAACAUGUGGUUUAAUUCGAUGAUACGCGAGGAACCUUACCCGGGCUUGAAAUGCGGCGGACCGGCAGAGAGAUCUGCCUUCCCUUCGGGGCCGCCGUGUAGGUGCUGCAUGGUUGUCGUCAGCUCGUGCCGUGAGGUGUCGGCUUAAGUGCCAUAACGAGCGCAACCCUCAUCAUUAGUUACUAACAGGUCAUGCUGAGGACUCUAGUGAGACUGCCAUCGUAAGAUGCGAGGAAGGUGGGGAUGACGUCAAAUCAGCACGGCCCUUACGUCCGGGGCGACACACGUGUUACAAUGGGUGGUACAAAGGGCAGCUACCUGGCGACAGGAUGCUAAUCUCCAAAACCACUCUCAGUUCGGAUCGGAGUCUGCAACUCGACUCCGUGAAGCUGGAUUCGCUAGUAAUCGCGCAUCAGCCACGGCGCGGUGAAUACGUUCCCGGGCCUUGUACACACCGCCCGUCAAGCCAUGGAAGCCGGGGGUACCUGAAGUCCGUAACCGUCAAGGAGCGGCCUAGGGUAAAACUGGUAACUGGGGCUAAGUCGUAACAAGGUAGCCGUACCGGAAGGUGCGGCUG